AGGAAAAGAAACCAACAGGGAUUGCCCCAGUAACGGCGAGUGAAGCGGCAACAGCUCAAAUUUGAAAUCUGGCGCAAGCCCGAGUUGUAAUUUGUAGAGGAUGCUUCUAGGUAGCGACCGGUCUAAGUUCCUUGGAACAGGACGUCAUAGAGGGUGAGAAUCCCGUAUGUGACCGGCCCGCACCUUCUACGUAGCUCCUUCGACGAGUCGAGUUGUUUGGGAAUGCAGCUCUAAAUGGGAGGUAAAUUUCUUCUAAAGCUAAAUACCGGCCAGAGACCGAUAGCGCACAAGUAGAGUGAUCGAAAGAUGAAAAGCACUUUGGAAAGAGAGUUAAAAAGCACGUGAAAUUGUUGAAAGGGAAGCGCUUACAACCAGACUUCUGGGCGGUGUUCCGCCGGUCUUUUGACCGGUCUACUCGCCGUCCCGAGGCCAACAUCAUCUGGGACCGCUGGAUAAGACCUCAGGAAUGUAGCUUCCCUCGGGAAGUGUUAUAGCCUGUGGUGAUGCAGCGCGUCUCGGGUGAGGUCCGCGCUUCGGCAAGGAUGUUGGCGUAAUGGUUGUCAGCGGCCCGUCUUGAAACACGGACCAAGGAGUCUAACAUCUAUGCGAGUGUUCGGGUGUCAAACCCCUACGCGUAAUGAAAGUGAACGGAGGUGGGAAGCGUAAGCUGCACCAUCGACCGAUCCUGAUGUCCUCGGAUGGAUUUGAGUAAGAGCAUAGCUGUUGGGACCCGAAAGAUGGUGAACUAUGCCUGAAUAGGGUGAAGCCAGAGGAAACUCUGGUGGAGGCUCGCAGCGGUUCUGACGUGCAAAUCGAUCGUCAAAUUUGGGUAUAGGGGCGAAAGACUAAUC
rnacentral:rRNA from 1 species